GUGCUCGCUUCGGCAGCACAUAUACUAAAAUUGGAACGAUACAGAGAAGAUUAGCAUGGCCCAUGCACAAGGAUGACACAUAAAAUUGUUAGAUCUUCUUGUU
rnacentral:snRNA from 1 species